rnacentral:tRNA from 1 species
GGAAAAUUAGCUCAGUUGGUCAGAGCACUCGGCUCAUAACCGAUCGGUCCUGGGUUCGAGUCCCAGAUUUUCCA